GAAGAUUACAACCCAUAUAACUCUGCUCGCAUUAGGAAGAGGCGUUUCUGGACUGCUAGUGAAGCAAAUUUCUAUUCCUCAGUGUUGUUCAACAAGGAGAAGAUCUUCUACCAUGAGCAUAUUCCUCACAUGGAUAUGGAAUCUCUGCCGUGCUUCGCACCAGUCCUUAGUGUUCUUCAUGAUGCUGGACUGCUAAACUUUUGCUCUGACAUCUGCGAUUGGAAUAAAGAACUGAUUCUUCAAUUCUAUGCAACGAUACACAUCACCGGAGAUGCUGAAGAUGUGAAUUCAUGGGUGCUGGACUGGAUGUCUGAAAACACUCACUACACU
rnacentral:rRNA from 1 species